rnacentral:rRNA from 1 species
GUGUCAGCCGCCGCGGUAAUACGUAGGUGGCAAGCGUUGUCCGGAAUCACUGGGCGUAAAGCGCGCGCAGGCGGCGAUCUACGUCUGGGGUGAAAGCCCGGAGCUCAACUCCGGGACUGCCUUGGAUACGGGAUCGCUUGAGGAUUGGAGAGGCAAGGGGAAUUCCACGUGUAGCGGUGAAAUGCGUAGAUAUGUGGAGGAACACCUGUGGCGAAGGCGCCUUGCUGGCCAAUUUCUGACGCUGAGGCGCGAAAGCGUGGGGAGCAAACAGGAUUAGAUACCCUGGUAGUCC